CAGCUAGAGUUCCUCGAUGGUUCAUGUGGCCUUAACCGCCGCUGGGCUCCCUGCGCCCACGCCUCAAUUCUUCUACCUCUUCUCAGGCCUUCUACCCCCCGCCGGUGCCGCCUCCUCGCGAGAUCCCGGACAUGAUCUUGAGGUUUGACCCUGAAUGCUUGGGUCUAGGUAGCUGAAGAUUCUUAGGUCCGUGGUGACAGUGAUUGUUAGGUCCGUGGUGACAGUGAGCAUCAUUGGUCAACAAGGUUUCAGUGGGUGUGC